GCAAGUCGAGCGGAAACGAGAAUAGCUUGCUAUUCGGCCUCGCGCGUCGGACGGGUGAGUAAUGCUUGGGAAUAUGCCUUUUGUUGGGGGACAACAGUUGGAAACGACUGCUAAUACCGCAUAAUGUCUCCGGACCAAAGUGGGGGACCUUCGGGCCUCAUGCCAAGAGAUUAGACCAAGUGAGAUUAGCUAGUUGGUAAGGUAAUGGCUUACCAAGGCGACGAUCUCUAGCUGGUUUGAGAGGAUGAGC
rnacentral:rRNA from 1 species